GACGUAGGGGGCAAGCGUUGUCCGGAUUCAUUGGGCGUAAAGAGCGUGUAGGCGGCCAGGUAGGUCGGUUGUGAAAACUGGAGGCUCAACCUUCAGAGGUCGACCGAAACCAUCUGGCUAGAGUCCGGGAGAGGAGAGUGGAAUUCCUGGUGUAGCGGUGAAAUGCGCAGAUAUCAGGAAGAACACCCGUGGCGAAAGCGGCUCUCUGGAACGGUACUGACGCUGAGACGCGAAAGCGUGGGGAGCGAACAGG
rnacentral:rRNA from 1 species